rnacentral:rRNA from 1 species
AGUGAACGCUGGCGGUAGGCCUAACACAUGCGAGUCGAACGGCAGCACAGUAAGAGCUUGCUCUUACGGGUGGCGAGUGGCGGACGGGUGAGGAAUACAUCGGAAUCUACUUUUUCGUGGGGGAUAACGUAGGGAAACUUACGCUAAUACCGCAUACGACCUACGGGUGAAAGCAGGGGAUCUUCGGACCUUGCGCGAUUGAAUGAGCCGAUGUCGGAUUAGCUAGUUGGCGGGGUAAAGGCCCACCAAGGCGACGAUCCGUAGCUGGUCUGAGAGGAUGAUCAGCCACACUGGAACUGAGACACGGUCCAGACUCCUACGGGAGGCAGCAGUGGGGAACAUUGGACAAUGGGCGCAAGCCUGAUCCAGCCAUACCGCGUGGGUGAAGAAGGCCUUCGGGUUGUAAAGCCCUUUUGUUGGGAAAGAAAAGCAGCAGGUUAAUACCCCGCUGUUCUGACGGUACCCAAAGAAUAAGCACCGGCUAACUUCGUG